rnacentral:rRNA from 1 species
GACGAACGCUGGCGGCGUGCUUAACACAUGCAAGUCGAACGGUGAAGGGACCAGCUUGCUGGUUCUGGAUGAGUGGCGAACGGGUGAGUAACACGUGAGUAACCUGCCCCCUUCUUCUGGAUAACCGCAUGAAAGUGUGGCUAAUACGGGAUAUUCUGGGUCUGUCGCAUGGCGGGCCCGGGAAAGAUAUUGCUUCGGUGGGGGAUGGGCUCGCGGCCUAUCAGCUUGUUGGCGGGGUGAUGGCCUACCAAGGCGGUGACGGGUAGCCGGCCUGAGAGGGUGGACGGUCACACUGGGACUGAGACACGGCCCAGACUCCUACGGGAGGCAGCAGUGGGGAAUAUUGCACAAUGGGCGCAAGCCUGAUGCAGCGACGCCGCGUGAGGGAUGGAGGCCUUCGGGGUGUAAACCUCUUUCGCCAGUGAAGCAGGCCUGCUCCUUGUGGGUGGGUUGACGGUAGCUGGAUAAGAAGCGCCGGCUAACUACGUG